UAAAUGUUGUGACGAUUAAGCUUCAGUCUUAGACUCUCUCCUCACUCUCCCUUCACCUAUCUCUCGCCGGAAAUCGCUCCGCCUUGCCAGAGGCGGCGGAGCUCGGCCAAAAUCUAGAAAACGACGACAAGAUAGCUCGUCUAGCCGUGGGCUACCACAGUCUCAUAUCAAAUUCGCUCACGGAAGCUUAACCGGCAUGUUAACUCGAAAGGGGAAAAUGAAAAUCUAAACGCACAACGGCGCAAUCAUGAAGCGGUCAGAUGGACACAGAGGUUAAGUCGAUAUCAUUGAGCAUCACGGAGCAUCGUUCAGUAAGAAUGAAAGAGAAAUACGAAGGGCUCGAGGCUUACCGGUACUGGCGAUUCUUCAAGAUGCGAAUGUGGAAAGAAAAUACCAGAGGAAAAUAGCUUCACUUCAUAGCUUAUCAACUACUCAGUUAGGACACGGCUGGACCGGCGAAUGCGAAGACAUGGUCUUGGAUUGUACUACGAAGUAAAGAGUUGCUUUGGAUAUGGUACAGGUCUGAAGUGUAGGAAUGGUGCGAUAGGGACAAAGUCAUGAAGAUGAAAAGACUUAAGAUAAUAAAAUAUAGGUCAUAGGAUCAGGUCUAGAAAUUUGGUUCUUUUAUAAUGAAUUUUGUAAGGAAUGGAUAGACUUGAUGAAUGUAUGGACUAUAAACAUGUGCACUGGUUUUUGUUUGAAUUAAAUAUGGCCGAUGGUUUUGUAUAUGGACUGUUUGUAUGAGACUUAUGUUGUCAUUUGAAAUAAGUUUGGAACUUGAAAGAACGUGAAUAAUGUUGAACUUGAA